rnacentral:ncRNA from 1 species
UUUCAAUGCCAGUUCCUUCUUAUCCUUCCAUACCCCCACCGAUCUUGCCAUCCCAUCCCCUAUCCACUCAACAGGCAGGGUGAGGCCUUCCAUGAGGGAUCAUUAAAUCUGUGAAGUCAUUGGAGGCAGGGCCUAGGUCUCCCCCUGUGUAUCUAGGCUAAAGAGUAUACCUCCAUGGGAAAUGUGAUCCUUAGUUCUGCUCCUGCACUAGGGAUACAUCCUGGUUCCACUACCAGAAGCACCAUAGGCUGCCCAGUGCUCCUACCUGACACCCAUGUCAUGAGUUCCUCUUGCUCAGAUCAGGUGUUUCUGUGGGAUUUCCCAGUGUGGUCUUGAACCCUUUGUUAUCAUUCUUCCUUCUGUGAAAUUGGAUUCCAGGAGGCUGGCUUAGUACUUGGCUUUGGAUCCUUGGUUAUGCUUUCAUCAUCUACUGGAUGAAUGCUCUAGGAUGGUAUUUAAGGUAGUCAUCAUUUUCAUUAUAGGGUAUGGGCAUUUAAGGUAGUCUAUCCACUAUUGCUGAGAGUCCUAGUUAGGGUCAUCCUAUUGGAUCUCUGUAUAAUUCCCUAGUGUCGGAUUUCUCUUUAAACCUAUAGUGACUAUCUCCAUUGAUAUGUCUCUUUUCUUGCUAUCCUCUACUCCUCUUGGAGAGCUCCUAGCAGCCAACUUCAAUCUGGUGCAGACCAGGGGAACCUGAUUGUUUAAUUAAAACAAAGCAUCAUGAAGUCCCAUGGUGGGUUUUGACGCGAUGUGAUUUCUGCCCAGUGCUCUGAAUGUCAAACUGAAGAAAUUCAAUGAAGCAUGGGUAAAUGGCAGGAUUAACUAUGACUCUCUAAAAGUAGCCAAAUGUCUCGCCAUCUAGGUACUCUUCUUGAAGGCAUUAGAUAUCACUGAUACUUGCACUGUACACAAUAACUCUAAAAGCUACAGUAUGCUUUCAGU